rnacentral:rRNA from 1 species
GAUGAACGCUGGCGGCGUGCCUAAUACAUGCAAGUCGAGCGAACGGACGAGAAGCUUGCUUCUCUGAUGUUAGCGGCGGACGGGUGAGUAACACGUGGAUAACCUACCUAUAAGACUGGGAUAACUUCGGGAAACCGGAGCUAAUACCGGAUAAUAUUUUGAACCGCAUGGUUCAAAAGUAAAAGACGGUCUUGCUGUCACUUAUAGAUGGAUCCGCGCUGCAUUAGCUAGUUGGUAAGGUAACGGCUUACCAAGGCAACGAUGCAUAGCCGACCUGAGAGGGUGAUCGGCCACACUGGAACUGAGACACGGUCCAGACUCCUACGGGAGGCAGCAGUAGGGAAUCUUCCGCAAAGGGCGAAAGCCUGACGGAGCAACGCCGCGUGAGUGAUGAAGGUCUUCGGAUCGUAAAACUCUGUUAUUAGGGAAGAACAUAUGUGUAAGUAACUGUGCACAUCUUGACGGUACCUAAUCAGAAAGCCACGGCUAACUGCGUG